CAGUGCGCCAGCAUGGCACAUGUAUACAUAUGUAACUAACCUGCACAAUGUGCACAUGUCCCCUAAAACUUAAAGUAUAAUAAAAAAAAAAAAAGAAUCUUCAAACCUAAUGCCUAGAACAUUUUAUCAACAUUAAACUUCUAUUUAAAGUUUAUUCUUAGCUAUCUAUAAGAAACGUUUACUAGGAAGCAGAAAAAAUAAGCUCUUUCUAAAAGAGUAUAUUUGCAAUUUGAACUUUCAAAAAUUGAUAAAGCAGUACACACAUUUAUUUUUAGAAAUUGAAGCUGCAAAGCUAAGCAAUUUCCUACUAUGACAUGUGUGUUGGACAGUGUAGGGCAUAGCAAUGAUUAGUGAUUUUCAGCAGCCUUUCUUGAAUAGGCAUUGAAAAUAGCUAAACAAAAAAAGAGAAAUGAGCUGAAUUCUUGGAGUUAAUAUUUUGGAGUGAAUUAUAAAACAGAGUUCUUGCAAUAAUGCAUGUAAAUUAAAAAUAGGUUAGCAAAGCAUGAGUAAAAAUAGUCAAUUUUCAAAUACUUUUCACAGCUCUCCGAGUCUGACAUAUUUCUCUGGCUAAAAGGGAAGAAACAUAUCGGCACUCAUGUUGGGAAGACCUUAGAACAGCAAAGUACUAAAACUUGCCAAACCAACUUCAAGUGGCUUUCUUGUUAGUGCAAUACACACUGCACUGAGUUCCUGAGCAUAAUAUUUCCACCCUUUCCCACGGAGUCUGCUUAAAUUUGAAGAUUUUUUUUCUAGUAGGUGUAUUGUCCUUAAUUUUGGAGGAAGUUUUAAAAAGGUGGAUUAAUGUUAUAUAUGCUUCCGAGAAUAUUAUGCAACCAUGAAGCUUUGCACUUCAACAUAAAUGAAUCCCAAAAAGAGCCAGAUGAACUGUUGGCUGGGAGGCAGAGCCUUAGGAUGUUUCAAAUUCAUCGUGACUUCACAUAAAGGUCCUCUCUGGAGUAUGAAAGUCAAUUUUACAGGUGUAAAAUAAAGGAAAAGACGACAGUCUGAAAGUCAAACGAAAUUCCAGGACCACCUGUAUUUCAGUGAGGAAAAGAAACUCCUCAGACCAAAACAAUAACAGCAACAACAAAAAACUGUUUUCGUUUGGGAGGAGGACCAAAAGGAAGGAAUAAGGGUCAGGCACUGACUCUACAGGUUGCCUCUCAUAUCUCUUCAUCAUAUAUACCUCUUCAAAUUCAAUCGAGAUUUCAAUUCGUCUCACUUCUCCCCAACCUUACUCUGAUCUCCUGGUAAUUUUAGAGUAAUUGAGAAUAUUUUCUAACAUACGUGUCAACAUAAUGAAGGAGCUGGGACCUAAGUGAAGAAGCGACAAAAUUUACAGUGGCUUUGAAUGCUGGUUCCUGAAUGGAUUUGCUUGACUGCAAUUCAAUCUUUUUUGUGGCUCAAGGCUCACUCACCUCUAAAAGGCACUUUGUUUGUCAGAAUCGAUUUAAAUCAAUUUCUGUGGAAAUUAAAAUUAAAUAUGGUAUCCCUAAGAUUCUUGCAUUUAUUUCAAUUUUUAAAUUAUUGAUUUAUACAUGAUUUUUAUGCCCCAUCAUUAUAUGAACAUUUAUAUAAUUAGUG
rnacentral:lncRNA from 1 species